rnacentral:rRNA from 1 species
CCUGGCUCAGGACGAACGCUGGCGGCGUGCCUAAUACAUGCAAGUAGAACGCACAGUUUAUACCGUAGCUUGCUACACCAUAGACUGUGAGUUGCGAACGGGUGAGUAACGCGUAGGUAACCUGCCUGGUAGCGGGGGAUAACUAUUGGAAACGAUAGCUAAUACCGCAUAAUAUUAAUUAUUGCAUGAUAAUUGAUUGAAAGGUGCAAUUGCACCACUACCAGAUGGACCUGCGUUGUAUUAGCUAGUAGGUGAGGUAACGGCUCACCUAGGCGACGAUACAUAGCCGACCUGAGACGGUGGUAGGCCAAACUGGGACUAAGACACAGACAAGACUCCUACGG